rnacentral:rRNA from 1 species
CAGCAGCCACGGUAAUACGUAGGGUGCGAGCGUUAAUCGGAAUUACUGGGCGUAAAGCGUGCGCAGGCGGUUAUAUAAGACAGAUGUGAAAUCCCCGGGCUCAACCUGGGACCUGCAUUUGUGACUGUAUAGCUAGAGUACGGUAGAGGGGGAUGGAAUUCCGCGUGUAGCAGUGAAAUGCGUAGAUAUGCGGAGGAACACCGAUGGCGAAGGCAAUCCCCUGGACCUGUACUGACGCUCAUGCACGAAAGCGUGGGGAGCAAACAGGAUUAGAUACCCGCGUAGUCCCUGUCUCUUAUAC